UAGCUUAGUUGGUAGUGCGUCUGCCUCGUAAGCGCUAGGCCGCGGGUUCGAUUCCCGC
rfam:Asian citrus Psyllid, Diaphorina citri - Florida Strain, whole genome shotgun sequence.